rnacentral:rRNA from 1 species
UACAGAGGUCUCGAGCGUUGUUCGGAUUCAUUGGGCGGAAAGGGUGCGUAGGCGGCGAGCUAAGUUUGGUGUGAAAUCCUGGGGCUUAACCUCAGAAAUGCACUGAAUACUGGUUUGCUAGAGGACUGGAGAGGAGAUUGGAAUUCACGGUGUAGCAGUGAAAUGCGUAGAUAUCGUGAGGAAGACCAGUGGCGAAAGCGAAUCUCUGGACAGUUCCUGACGCUGAUGCACGAAGGCUAGGGGAGCAAACGGG